rnacentral:tRNA from 2 species
GCCGGCUUAGCUCAGCGGUAGAGCAGCGGUUUUGUAAACCGAAGGUCGGGAGUUCAAUCCUCUCAGCCGGCACCA